rnacentral:rRNA from 1 species
UACGGAGGAUGCAAGCGUUAUCCGGAUUUAUUGGGUUUAAAGGGUGCGCAGGUUGUUUGAUAAGUCAGUGGUGAAAGUCUGUCGCUUAACGGUAGGAUUGCCAUUGAUACUGUUGGACUUGAAUAUGGAUGAGGUAGGCGGAAUGUGUAGUGUAGCGGUGAAAUGCAUAGAUAUUACACAGAACACCGAUUCCGAAGGCAGCUUACUAAUCCAUCAUUGACGCUGAGGCACGAAAGCGUGGGGAUCAAACAGGA